rnacentral:tRNA from 1 species
GCCGCGAUCGCAUAACCUGGUAUUGCACCGGUCUCGAAAACCGGGCCUGCGAAGGCUUCGAGGUUCAAAUCCUCGUCGCGGCG